CACUAGCACUAGGGGUGGCUCGGGGAGUUACCGGGCCUGAGAAAAAACCCUUUGAACCUGAUCAGGACAGACGCCGACCUGGCGCCGAUGCCUGCGUAGGAAAGUGAUUCAAUGGCUAC
rnacentral:ncRNA from 2 species